rnacentral:tRNA from 1 species
GCCGGGGUGGUGGAACCGGUAGACACGCGGGUCUCAAAAACCCGUGACCGAAAGGUCAUGAGAGUUCGACUCUCUCCCCCGGCA